rnacentral:rRNA from 1 species
UUUCCGGUUGAUCCUGCCGGACCCCACUGCUAUCGGGAUAGGACUAAGACAUGCUAGUCGAGUGACUCAGGCAAAACGAGUCACGGCACACAGCUCAGUAACACGUGGCUAAUCUGCCCUUGAGACGAGAAUAACCCCGGGAAACUGGGGCUAACUCUCGAUAGGCGAAGAGCUCUGGAAUGAGUCUUCACCCAAAAAGCUUCACGUUAUCCUCGUGAAGUCGCUCAAGGAUGAGGCCGCGACCGAUCAGGUUGUUGGUGAGGUAAUGGCUCACCAAGCCUUUUACCGGUGCGGGCCGUGGGAGCGGGAGCCCGGAGAUGGGUACUGAGACAAGGACCCAGGCCCUACGGGGCGCAGCAGUCGCGAAAACUUUGCAAUACACGAAAGUGUGACAGGGCUAUCCCGAGUGCCAUCCGCUGAGGAAGGCUUUUACCCAGUCUAGAACGCUGGGGGAAUAAGGAGAGGGCAAGUCUGGUGUCAGCCGCCGCGGUAAUACCAGCUCUCCGAGUGGUGUGGAUGUUUAUUGGGCCUAAAGCAUCCGUAGCUGGCUAAGUUAGUCCCCUGUUAAAUCCACCGAAUUAAUCGUUGGAUUGCGGGGGAUACUGCUUGGCUAGGGGACGAGAGAGGCAGACGGUAUUUUCGGGGUAGGGGUGAAAUCCUAUAAUCCCGGGAAGACCACCAGUGGCGAAGGCUGUCUGCUAGAACGCGCCCGACGGUGAGGGAUGAAAGCUGGGGGAGCGAACCGGAUUAGAUACCCGGGUAGUCCCAGCUGUAAACUAUGCAGGCUAGGUGUUUGGGCGGCCACGUGCCGCUCUAGUGCCGCAGGGAAGCCGUUAAGCCCGCCGCCUGGGGAGUACGGCCGCAAGGCUGAAACUUAAAGGAAUUGGCGGGGGAGCACCACAAGGGGUGAAGCUUGCGGUUUAAUUGGAGUCAACGCCGGG